GAUGAACGCUGGCGGCGUGCCUAAUACAUGCAAGUCGAGCGAACAGACGAGGAGCUUGCUCCUCUGACGUUAGCGGCGGACGGGUGAGUAACACGUGGAUAACCUACCUAUAAGACUGGGGUAACUUCGGGAAACCGGAGCUAAUACCGGAUAAUAUAUUGAACCGCAUGGUUCAAUAGUGAAAGACGGUUUUGCUGUCACUUAUAGAUGGAUCCGCGCCGCAUUAGCUAGUUGGUAAGGUAGCGGCUUACCAAGGCAACGAUGCGUAGCCGACCUGAGAGGGUGAUCGGCCACACUGGAACUGAGACACGGUCCAGACUCCUACGGGAGGCGGCAGUAGGGAAUCUUCCGCAAUGGGCGAAAGCCUGACGGAGCAACGCCGCGUGAGUGAUGAAGGUCUUCGGAUCGUAAAACUCUGUUAUUAGGGAAGAACAAAUGUGUAAGUAACUAUGCACGUCUUGACGGUACCUAAUCAGAAAGCCACGGCUAACUACGUG
rnacentral:rRNA from 1 species